UACGGAGGGGGCUAGCGUUGUUCGGAAUUACUGGGCGUAAAGCGCACGUAGGCGGCUUUGUAAGUUAGAGGUGAAAGCCCAGGGCUUAACCCUGGAAUUGCCUUUAAGACUGCAUCGCUAGAAUUGUGGAGAGGUAAGUGGAAUUCCGAGUGUAGAGGUGAAAUUCGUAGAUAUUCGGAAGAACACCAGUGGCGAAGGCGACUUACUGGACACAUAUUGACGCUGAGGUGGCGAAAAGCGU
rnacentral:rRNA from 1 species